UACGGGGGGGGCAAGCGUUGUUCGGAAUUACUGGGCGUAAAGGGCUCGUAGGCGGCCAACUAAGUCGGACGUGAAAUCCCCAGGCUCAACCUGGGAACUGCGUCCGAUACUGGAUGGCUUGAAUUCGGGAGAGGGAUGCAGAAUUCCAGGUGUAGCGGUGAAAUGCGUAGAUAUUGGGAAGAACACCGAUGGCGAAGGCAGCCAUCUGGACCGACACUGACGCUGAGGCGCGAAAGCGUGGGGAGCAAACAGG
rnacentral:rRNA from 1 species